AUCAGAGGCUAUAAAGAUUUCACUGUUUCUGUAACAGCCCCUUUUUAUAUAAUCACUUAAACUGUGAUUAUGUUUAAUAUCUCUACCUAAAUAGCACCUCCUGGCCCGGCUUUGAAAUUCUCCUUGCUUUUCUGUGAUACUACCCAGAGGAAUUUCAUAAUUUGCCUGUGUUCCUCUGGCUUGGCAUUGGCAAAACCAGCAAGACCAUGAUAUAAGCUCCUUAAGAAAAAGACUAUGCUCUACUCAAUUUCGUACACCCUGCAGAGUCUAGCUCAGAGUCUCAUACAUGAACCAGCACCAUCAUGGAAGGCAACAUGGUCAAGCUCUCUGAUUUCCUGGUCUGCAUUCUAGUGCCAAAUGCAUGGCUUUAAAUCCACCACGAGGAAGACAGCAGAUGUUGGGUUUAUCGUAGCCUGGGGAACUGAAAAGAAGCUUGCACUAACCUGCAUUCUGCCACAGACAGAGGUUUAAGAAAAUUUCAACAAAUCAUUCCACUGGUCUCAUAUUGCUGAAAGGGAUAUAAACAUAUAAAUGAACAGAGCUCUACCUCUGUCCUGAGCAUUUUUCCAGAUUUAUCAUUUUUAUUUUUAUUUUAUUUUAUUUAUUUAUUUAUUUAUUUUGAGAUGAG
rnacentral:lncRNA from 1 species